AACGAACGCUGGCGGCAUGCCUAACACAUGCAAGUCGAACGAGACCUUCGGGUCUAGUGGCGCACGGGUGCGUAACGCGUGGGAACCUGCCCUUAGGUUCGGAAUAACUCCCCGAAAGGGGUGCUAAUACCGGAUAAUGUCUUCGGACCAAAGAUUUAUCGCCUUUGGAUGGGCCCGCGUUGGAUUAGCUAGUUGGUAGGGUAAAAGCCUACCAAGGCGACGAUCCAUAGCUGGUCUGAGAGGAUGAUCAGCCACACUGGGACUGAGACACGGCCCAGACUACUACGGGAGGCAGCAGUGGGGAAUAUUGGACAAUGGGCGAAAGCCUGAUCCAGCAAUGCCGCGUGAGUGAUGAAGGCCUUAGGGUUGUAAAGCUCUUUUACCCGGGAUGAUAAUGACAGUACCGGGAGAAUAAGCUCCGGCUAACUCCGU
rnacentral:rRNA from 1 species